UGAAUACGUUCCCGGGUCUUGUACACACCGCCCGUCAAGCCAUGGAAGCUGGGUGUACCUAAAGUCGGUAACCGUAAGGAGCCGCCUAGGGUAAAACUAGUGACUGGGGCU
rnacentral:rRNA from 1 species